AUUAAUCAUGUGAUAGUCAUGUGACAGUCAGUCAGUGCAGCUGUUAAUGCUUAGUAGACGAUAAAUACCAAAAGAGAAGACAUCCCUCAGUCUCUGAUACAUCAUCACUAGCUCUUGCUUUAUUAAUAUCCUCCAGCCCAUGGCCACCACUUAUAAGCACUUGAUAAUUACUAUUAGUGUGUGUGGGUGGAACUGAUACCAGGGUACUCACUCUAUCAACGUGGCCUCUGAUUAGUGAGUGGAGUUGAUGAGUGUUAGCUCCUCCCACUAGCGAUAGUGUAAUAAGUACACCAGUGGAGGUACCAAUCAGUAGCUGAGACUGUGUACAUGUUAAUGAAGUGAUGUAAGGAUUGGUGCAUUUGUGUUUCUUAAUGAUGGGAUCAUAAUCAGCAGUCAACCAGUUCACAGUCAGCUACUGAUCACUUUCCGUGAGACUGCAUCAGCUAUUCACACCAUCUUAUAUCAGAAGAGGAGAGAGGAACAGGAGGACAAUGUAUGGGAGGAAGAGGAGGAGGAGAAGAUAUCAUCAGUUUCCUCAAUGAAAGACAGUGAUGGUGUGUUUAGUUUAAGAGGGAGUUCAGUAAUAGAACAUGGAGUAUUAGUAUCAUGUACGACGCUAUCAACAAGAGGGGGAGGAGUAGGAGGAGGAGCUAAGAAUAUUCACGGGUCAUUAGCUAAUCCUCCUAUACUCAACUACUGGAUAAUAGGGAGAUUAUUUGAGGAGAGAGAGUUGUACAUUUGCUAUCAGGAGAACAUGUCACAGUCAUCUGUUGAGAUUAUUUUUAAAUUGCUGUUUGGAUCAAACAUAUUUUAAAAAUUCUUCU